AGUCUCUGAGGGUUCGGUUGUAGAUGAGAUGAAUGUAUGCACAAUAAAAACGUCCAAUGCAUUGGUUGAAACCAUACUUGACUGUUGACAAACACUGAGCUACAAUAAUAGCCUUGAUACAAACACUUCUUUCCCAAUGAGUGGUUUCUAUAAGAUCAACUAGAUAAGAAUAAAAAUGGCAAGUGUGUUUUAUAAAAUUUAACCUCCAAGAUAAUUAACACUAUGACGGGGGCACGUAAACAGCAGAAACUGGGCAGGCCACCAAACGUUUGACCCAACAGAAAGACGAUACCUCAUUUGUCUCGCUUGUCUUGUGAUGGUGAAAGCAUGCACAGGAUAUCACAGCAAGGCCAUCACUGCUUUAGUUUCACCGCUACAAUACACCAAAGUGGUCCAUCACUCUUCCUUUAUAUCCGUCUUUCAGUGAGACGCUCCACAGCGUUACAUAAAUGGACGUGCUACUGUCUGCGGCAACAGGCGUCACUUUCCAGGAAUUUCACAGGGUUAUCUUUGUACCCCAGGACAAAUGAGGAGAUGAUCCUGCGCCAAUGAUGCAAGGAACCGUUUCAUCUGUCGCUCAUUGACCUUCAACCCAUCUGAACCCAUUGUCUCACAGAUCACAUUUCAAACUUGUUUAGUUGCAUGUGCCUGGAUAAAUCACUCCAUAAAUACCCAAAUUUGAAUGCAACUUUACAUUCCAGCCGCUUUUUGUUGCAGACAUGCCAAAAGUUAUAUGUCUUUGGGAUGUUGUUGGCUUAUCCCUCCCUACCUCAGCUGAACCAAACACAACAGCAGUUUGGCAUAACAGUGCGCCAGCUCCCUUAUUUAGAUGGAUAGUGGUUUUAUAAAAGAGAGGAAGGUCACACUGUUGAGAGGAUCCUCUGCUUCGGCCAUUCAACUUUCCCUCAAGCCUACAACUUGUGAACAGGGGAGCGUUUGCAGUAAUAUUUUCUGGUUUGGUGGCUGUCAGAGGCUAAGAACGCCCUUGCUGAUGCAGUUCAGUCUGCUCCUCAUGAAGCUGAUCUGCUGAGGGAGCAGUUUCAAGUAUGAAACCGAUGCCAUCCAGAGGAUUGAGGAGCUGGAGGAAGCUAAGAAGAAGCUGGUUCAGUGUCAAAUUGGUGAGAUGGAAAGAACAUUCAUGAACUAGAGAAAGUUUGUAAGCAGCUGGAGCAGGAGAAAGCUGAAAUUCGAGCAGCUUUGGAAGAGGCUGAGGUUUAUUGAAUGUGUAGAUGUACCAGGUCUAGUUUCUCCAGUUAUACACUAGAACAGUGGUCACCAACCUUUUUAAGCACAAAAUCCUUGAUCUCAGCUUUUAUGAAAGAUGAGAUCUACCUACUGAAAAACUGAUUGAAAAAGAGCCAAGAUUGUCUUUCCAAUUUGAGACCUUUUAUUUAGCAUUUUAAUUAGUGAUGCACUGAUCAUGAUGCUUCAUUCCCGUUUUUUUAAAAACUAGCAAUUUUACCUAAUGUUAAUAUGCUCUAUAACAAGCAAACGUGUCAAAUGUGCCAAAUUUGAAUCAUGAUCCCAACACAUUUUUGAUUUGAAUUAGGGUUUAUAAUUUCAAGAUUUAAGACGAAAACAUACAGGUCUGACUUAAAACACAUGAAUGGAAAUUCACUCUCUCUAUGUGAUGUAUUUUAUUUAUCACUGUCACAGAAGAUCCAGAAAAAUAACUGCAAAAAUAAAUACAAUACAGCACAAAGACUAGAGGAAUGUAAUGUAUUUCUACUUAUUUUAUAUUACAUUCUGGAGCUUCUGGGACAAUGAUAAUGAUAUCAAUCGACCAGUCUUCGCAAUCAAUAGGUCGGCGCGACUCUUGAUUGAAUAAUAAACAACUCAAACUUAUUAGUGAAGUGAUUACACGAUGAAGAUUGAAGCGGUCAUUUUCUGAG